rnacentral:rRNA from 1 species
AGAGUUUGACCCUGGCUCAGAACGAACGCUGGCGGCAGGCCUCAAACAUGCAAGUCUAGGGGAUGUAGCAAUACAUCACCGGCGGACGGGUGCGUAACACGUGGGAAUAUACCUUUUGGUUCGGAACAACUGCGGGAAACUGCAGCUAAUACCGAAUGUGUCCUUGCGGAGAAAGAUUUAUCGCCAAAGGAUUAGCCCGCGUUCGAUUAGCUAGUUGGUGAGGUAAUGGCUCACCAAGGCUCCGAUCGAUAGCUGUUCUGAGAGGAAGAUCAGCCACACUGGGACUGAGACACGGCCCAGACUCCUACGGGAGGCAGCAGUUGGGAAUCUUGGACAAUGGGGGAAACCCUGAUCCAGCCAUGCCGCGUGAGUGAUGAAGGCCUUCGGGUUGUAGAGCUCUUUUACCCGGGAAGAUAAUGACUGUACCGGGAGAAUAAGCUCCGGCUAACUUCGUGCCAGCAGCCGCGGUAAUACGAAGGGGGCUAGCGUUGUUCGGAAUUACUGGGCGUAAAGCGCGCGCAGGUGGUUUUCCAAGUCAGUGGUGAAAGCCCGGGGCUCAACUCCGGAACUGCCAUUGAAACUGUGAAACUCGAGGACGAGAGAGGUGAGUGGAAUUCCCAGUGUAGAGGUGAAAUUCGUAGAUAUUGGGAAGAACACCGGUGGCGAAGGCGGCUCACUGGCUCGUUUCUGACACUCAAGCGCGACAGCGUGGGGAUCAAACAGGAUUAGAUACCCUGGUAGUCC